rnacentral:rRNA from 1 species
GACGAACGCUGGCGGCGUGCUUAACACAUGCAAGUCGAACGGUAAGGCCCUUCGGGGUACACGAGUGGCGAACGGGUGAGUAACACGUGGGUGAUCUGCCCUGCACUUCGGGAUAAGCCUGGGAAACUGGGUCUAAUACCGGAUAGGACCUCGGCCUGCAUGGGUGGUGGUGGAAAGCUUUUGCGGUGUGGGAUGGGCCCGCGGCCUAUCAGCUUGUUGGUGGGGUGAUGGCCUACCAAGGCGACGACGGGUAGCCGGCCUGAGAGGGUGACCGGUCACACUGGGACUGAGAUACGGCCCAGACUCCUACGGGAGGCAGCAGUGGGGAAUAUUGCACAAUGGGCGCAAGCCUGAUGCAGCGACGCCGCGUGAGGGAUGACGGCCUUCGGGUUGUAAACCUCUUUCAGCUAUGACGAAGCGCAAGUGACGGUAGUAGCAGAAGAAGGACCGGCCAACUACGUGCCAGCCGCCGCGGUAA